AGCAUAUCGCCGGUUUACCCGGCGACGACCGAAAGAAGUGUCUGCCCUAUCAACCAGAUGGUAGCCUAGUAGACUACCAUGGUUAUAACGGGUAACGGAGAAUCAGGGUUCGACUCCGGAGAGGGAGCCUUAGAAACGGCUACCACAUCCAAGGAAGGCAGCAGGCGCGUAACUUAUCCACUACUUUUGUGAGAUAGGGACGAAAAAUAAAAAGGCCAAUCCUUUGGAUUGGUUAUUUCAAUGAUUUGAGCCCAAAUAGCUCUUUGAUGACCCAGUGGAGGGCAAGUCUGGUGCCAGCAGCCGCGGUAAUUCCAGCU
rnacentral:rRNA from 1 species